rnacentral:rRNA from 1 species
GACAGAGGAGGCAAGCGUUGUCCGGACUUACUGGGCGUAAAGCGUCCGCAGGUGGUCGGGCAAGUGCCGUGUGAAAGCGCUCGGCUUAACUGAGCGAGGCCGUGGCAGACUGCUCGACUCGAGACCGGGAGAGGUCGGUGGAAUUGCCGGUGUAGUGGUGAAAUGCGUAGAGAUCGGCAGGAACACCCAAGGGGAAGCCAGCUGACUGGCCCGGUACUGACACUCAGGGACGACAGCGUGGGGAGCAAACAGG